rnacentral:rRNA from 1 species
UUGAGAUUUCAGUAAUUUUGCAAUUCACAUUACGAAUGCAUUUGUGCGUCUUCAUGAUGAGAGCCAAGAAUCCGUGUGAAGUUGUAUGAUGCAUAUAGAGUCAUUUCUACACUUUAAAGGGGGUUUGUGAAAACGAGCCCCCCUCCGAGAUGAUCCCAAAAGGUGCCCACGCGUGAUGCACAAAGGUGAGACGAUUAUUAUGUGAGGGACACACCCGGGCGUGCACGACUUGAAGUCAGGAUCAGCCCGCAUGCCCCUCAUAGUAGUAAGAAUAAUUAACAAGCUUCCGUAGGGGUGACCUGCGGAAGGAUCAUUAUCGUACAAAAUGUGAGGGGCAUGCCAGGGCUGUCGCUGACUUCAAAGUCGUGCACGCCCGGGUGUGUCCCCUCACAUAAUAAUCCGUCUCACCCUUUGUGCAUCACCGCGUGGGCACCCUUUGGGAUCAUCUCGGAGGGGGCUCGCGUUUUCACACAAACCCCCCCUUUUAAAAGUGUAGAAUGACCUCAUAUAUGCAAUCAAUACAACUUUCAACAACGGAUCUCUUGGCUCUCGCAUCGAUGAAGAACGCAGCGAAAUGCGAUACGUAAUGUGAAUUGCAGAAUUCAGUGAAUCAUCGAAUCUUUGAACGCACCUUGCGCCCCUUGGUAUUCCGAGGGGCACACCCGUUUGAGUGUCGUGAAAACCUCAACCUCCUUGGUUUCUUCUGGAGACCAAAGCAGGCUUGGACUUUGGAGGCCUUUGCCGGUGCCUCUCUCUUUUGAAGUGCCAGCUCCUCUUAAACAAAUUAGCAGGGUCCUCUUUGCUGAUCCUUGACGUGUGAUAAGAUGUUUCCAUGUCUUGGUUUCUGGCUCUGUCACCUUUUGGGACCCGCUUCUAACCGUCUGGCCCUUGUGUCGAGACAAUGUUCGAGCAUGAUGUCUCCCUUCUUGGGAAGCUCCCUCGACCCCACGAACCCUUGACCUCAAAUCGGGGAGACUACCCGGAGCU